rnacentral:rRNA from 1 species
CACACACACAAAGAACCACACAACACACACCACCAUAACCACAUUUCUCCUCUCGCCAUGGUUCGCGCAGGAAAAGAAACCAACAGGGAUUACCUCAGUAACGGCGAGUGAAGCGGUAACAGCUCAAAUUUGAAAUCUGGCCUCACGGUCCGAAUUGUAAUUUGUAGAGGAUGUUUCGAGCAUGGUCUGGCCUAAGUUCCUUGGAACAGGACGUCAUAGAGGGUGAGAAUCCCGUAUGCGGUCAGGUGCCUACGCUCAUGUGAAACUCCUUCGACGAGUCGAGUUGUUUGGGAAUGCAGCUCAAAAUGGGUGGUAAAUUUCAUCUAAAGCUAAAUAUUGGCCAGAGACCGAUAGCGCACAAGUAGAGUGAUCGAAAGAUGAAAAGCACUUUGGAAAGAGAGUUAAACAGUACGUGAAAUUGUUGAAAGGGAAGCGCUUGCAACCAGACUUGCACGCAGCUAAUCAUCCGGUGUUCUCACCGGUGCACUUGGUUGCGUUCAGGCCAGCAUCGGUUUCGGCGGUGGGAUAAAGGCCUUAGGAAUGUAGCUGCUCUCGGGCAGUGUUAUAGCCUAGGGUGCAAUGCCGCCUGCUGGGACCGAGGACCGCGCUUCGGCUAGGAUGCUGGCGUAAUGGUUGUAAGCGGCCCGUCUUGAAACACGGACCAAGGAGUCUAACAUCUAUGCGAGUGUUUGGGUGUCAAACCCAUACGCGUAAUGAAAGUGAACGGAGGUGAGAACCCUUAAGGGUGCAUCAUCGACCGAUCCUGAUGUUCUCGGAUG